CGCUUUCCGAUACGUUGGGCACUAGGUGUGGGGAACAUUCCACGUUUUCCGCGCCGCAGCUAACGCAUUAAGUGCCCCGCCUGGGGAGUACGGCCGCAAGGCUAAAACUCAAAGGAAUUGACGGGGGCCCGCACAAGCGGCGGAGCAUGCGGAUUAAUUCGAUGCAACGCGAAGAACCUUACCAAGGCUUGACAUGUUCUCGAUCGCCGUAAAGAUACGGUUUCCCCUUUGGGGCGGGUUCACAGGUGGUGCAUGGUUGUCGUCAGCUCGUGUCGUGAGAUGUUGGGUUAAGUCCCGCAACGAGCGCAACCCUCGUUCCAUGUUGCCAGCACUUCGGGUGGGGACUCAUGGGAGACUGCCGGGGUCAACUCGGAGGAAGGUGGGGACGACGUCAAAUCAUCAUGCCCCUUAUGUCUUGGGCUUCACGCAUGCUACAAUGGCCGGUACAAUGGGUUGCGAUACUGUGAGGUGGAGCUAAUCCCAAAAAGCCGGUCUCAGUUCGGAUUGGGGUCUGCAACUCGACCCCAUGAAGUCGGAGUCGCUAGUAAUCGCAGAUCAGCAACGCUGCGGUGAAUACGUUCCCGGGCCUUGUACACACCGCCCGUCAAGUCACGAAAGUCGGUAACACCCGAAGCCGGUGGCCUAACCCUUGUGGAGGGAGCCGUCGAAGGUGGGACCAGCGAUUGGGACUAAGUCGUAACAAGGUAGCCACC
rnacentral:rRNA from 1 species